GGGGAAUCUUGCGCAAUGCGCGAAAGCGUGACGCAGCAACGCCGCGUGGGGGAAGAAGGCUCUCGGGUCGUAAACCCCUUUCAGUUGGGACGAAGCUUCGCCGGUGAAUAGCCGGCCGGAGUGACGGUACCUUCACAAGAAGCCCCGGCUAACUACGUGCCAGCAGCCGCGGUAAUACGUAGGGGGCAAGCGUUGUCCGGAAUCAUUGGGCGUAAAGCGCGUGUAGGCGGCUUGAUAAGUCUGUCGGGAAAGUCCAGGGCUCAACCCUGGAAUGCCGAUGGAUACUGUCAGGCUCGAGUCCGGAAGAGGCGAGUGGAAUUCCUGGUGUAGCGGUGAAAUGCGCAGAUAUCAGGAGGAACACCAAUGGCGAAGGCAGCUCGCUGGGACGGUACUGACGCUGAGACGCGAAAGCGUGGGGAGCAAGC
rnacentral:rRNA from 1 species